CCAAUAGCGUAUAUUAAAGUUGUUGUGGUUAAAAAGCUCGUAGUUGAACCUUGGGCCUGGCUGGCCGGUCCGCCUCACCGCGUGUACUGGUCCGGCCGGGCCUUUCCCUCUGUGGAACCCCAUGCCCUUCACUGGGUGUGGCGGGGAAACAGGACUUUUACUGUGAAAAAAUUAGAGUGCUCCAGGCAGGCCUAUGCUCGAAUACAUUAGCAUGGAAUAAUAGAAUAGGACGUGUGGUUCUAUUUUGUUGGUUUCUAGGACCGCCGUAAUGAUUAAUAGGGACAGUCGGGGGCAUCAGUAUUCAAUUGUCAGAGGUGAAAUUCUUGGAUUUAUUGAAGACUAACUACUGCGAAAGCAUUUGCCAAGGAUGUUUUCAUUAAUCAGGAACGAAAGUUAGGGGAUCGAAGACGAUCAGAUACCGUCGUAGUCUUAACCAUAAACUAUGCCGACUAGGGAUCGGACGGUGUUAUUUUUUGACCCGUUCGGCACCUUACG
rnacentral:sRNA from 1 species